GGCUAGCGUUGAUAUCAACCGAUCUUACCUUUGUUUGGUUUUGUUUAUUAGUAUGAUGUUGCUGUCAGGGAUAUCAAGUGGUGAGAAAAUUUUGGCGAGAAGUCCUGUGGAAAAUCCUUUGGGAAAACAUUGUCUAGAUGGUAUUGGAUGCCAGUCUAAUGACAAUUGUCGUGAACGUUGUGAAACAGAUGGCUAUAAUAAAGGUGGUAAAUGCGAGGGAUUACUAAUUCGCAAAUGUUGUUGUAAUGAAUGAGAAGUUAAUAUACCCUUCAAUAAAUCAAAAUAAAUAAAAUGAAUUGCCUUAUUGUAUUUUGAA